UACGUAGGGGGCGAGCGUUGUCCGGAGUUACUGGGCGUAAAGGGCAUGCAGGCGGUCCGACACGUUUUGUGUGACAGCGGGUGGCUUAACUACCCGAGGAUACGAAAGACGGUUGGACUUGAGGACUCGAGAGGGACAUGGAAUUCCGGGUGGAGUGGUGAAAUGCGUAGAGAUCCGGAGGAACACCGAAGGCGAAGGCAGUGUCCUGGCGAGUGACUGACGCUGAGGUGCGAAAGCCAGGGGAGCGAACGGG
rnacentral:rRNA from 1 species